UUAAAAUAAUUUUUAUCCAAUUAUAAUCUUUAACUUUAUCAUAAUUAUAAUAAUUUUAUUAGUAUUGCGUUUGACGGUAGGGCGACACAAACUAAUAUCUACAUUAUAAUGUUUUGUUAUUAGCAUUGUGUUCGACAAGUGAGCGGCUCAAACUAAUUUUUAUCUAUAUUAUUAUAUUUAAUUUUAUCAUAAUUAUAAUAAUUAU
rnacentral:lncRNA from 1 species